UCUUCUUCUUCACUUUCAGUCAGAGCACAACGAAAACACUGAAACACUGAAAUAAAGUUUUGAUUUUUUUAGGGUUUUUGGUUAUUUCUAUUUUUUAAUUGUUUUUCUUUUGUUGCAAAAAGUGUUUUCAAGAGGUUUUCUGGAAAUGAGUUGCCUGGGUAUGAUGAUGGUGAUGUGGGUUCAGCAAGGUUUGACAAACCUAUAAGCUUUGCUGUUGAUGUGAGACUUGGACCAAAGUGUCACGGGUCUCUCUAAUUGUUCUCUCCAUUAUUUCAUUCGAUGUUAUAGGAUGCUAAUAUGAAGUUAUCAGAACACAGAGACCUGAUAAUGGCAAAAAAGCGUUGCAAGCAUUGCUCUAAGUGAUGCAGCUGGAAAACCCAUUAAAUGUACUCUAUGGGAUCAUUAUGGUUCCCAACUAAUGAAUUACACCCUCUGACAGUGUUGUUGGCCCAAAUAUUGUGAUCCUUACUCAUGCUUUGUGCAGACCAAACACAGGUGACCAGGUGGUGAUGAAGUAUAUAAUGCAUUUGAUAAUCAACUCCCUGCCGCUUUAAAAAGGCUGCAGUUUGACAGGAAUCUUUCAAUAGAUAAUGUGUGGAAGCUUAUAACUCAACUUGAUGGAUAUCAACCUCAAUUGAUAGCUCCUGAACAAGGAUAGAGGGCUGAUGUUAAUCAUGGCUGCAGGUAUUGUGAAUCCUAAUGCUGUUGAAAUUUUCUGUAGUGGUGUUCAUCAAAAAGUCGUAAAUAUGCGGUGGUGCUUAUAAUCUGCAGUUGUGGUCUGGGUGAUUCGUUUGCUGUUUGAAGUCGGUUUUUCCUAAAGAUUGAUGAUGGUUUUGGUUUGUUCCUGUUUUAGAAUUUGAUCUUUUGAGUUUGCUAGCUAUUAUUUUAGGUGAUUGGUUCAGCAGUGGUUAAUGCGAUUAGCUAUUGUUUUAGGUGAUUGGUUCAGCAUUGGUUAAUGUGCUUAGCUGUUGUUUUAGGUAAUUGGUUCAGCAGUGUUUAAUGUGCUUCCCUUCUUUAUGUAGUGUUAAAUGAUGUUCUGCACAUCUACUAUUGUUUUAUUUCUCGAUGUAUUAACAGUAGCACUCUUUGUGCUUUUUCUCUUAAUCAAAUUUGGCUUAUUCACUCCCUAUUACACACACUUAUUGAAAGUAGGUAUCACUUAUCAUCACAUUUUGCCUAGAACUGCAAUCCCCUACCCUCUAUUCAAAUAGCAUUUCUAUCCAUGUUCUUAUGGUUGCCAUUCCGCGUACUCUCUUUGCAUGCUAUUUUUAAUGCGACAGAAGAAUUCAUUCUAUCCAUAGAUGAAGUCAACAACGAGGUUUGUUUAGCUGUCUACUGUGUGAUUGGUGUAUGUCAAUCAAAGUAUCUAUGAUAUUUAUCUUUAUGGUGUUAUGAUCACUAUGAAUAUUGUGAGCAUGCUUAGAUGAUGAAUGAGUUAUCACGUAUUACACCUCAUAAAAGACAUGGAGAGCUGAAUUGCGCAACAAAAGAAGCUUUUUAGAUUAAGCUAUGAUGCAUCAUCGAAUAUUCUCAUCCAUGUUGGCAACACCUCUGGUUCUGGCCAUGAGAUUUCCACCAGUGGAAACAGCAUCUGAGCAAGCAUGACAUCAUGGAUAUU